UGCUGAUAUCGUUGUGGUCACACCUGUUCCCAUUCCGAACACAGCAGUUAAGCACAAUGGAGCCGAUGGUAGCCAUCAUGGUAAGAGUAGGUAAGCGUCACGC
rnacentral:rRNA from 1 species